AGGGGAAUAUUGCACAAUGGGGGAAACCCUGAUGCAGCGACGCCGCGUGAGCGAAGAAGGUUUUCGAAUCGUAAAGCUCUGUCCUAUGAGAAGAUAAUGACGGUAUCAUAGGAGGAAGCCCCGGCUAAAUACGUGCCAGCAGCCGCGGUAAUACGUAUGGGGCGAGCGCUGUCCGGAAUUAUUGGGCGUAAAGGGUACGUAGGCGGUUUAUUAAGUCAGGUGUGAAAGCGUGAGGCUUAACCUAAUUAAGCACUUGAAACUGAUUGACUUGAGUGAAGGACAGGAAAGUGGAAUUCCUAGUGUAGCGGUGAAAUGCGUAGAUAUUAAGAGGAAUACCGGUGGCGAAGGCGACGUUCUGAACUUUUACUGACGCACAGGUACGAAAGCGUGGGGAGCAAACAGG
rnacentral:rRNA from 1 species